AGCCGCUUAACUCAGUUGGUUAGAGUGUUGUACUAAUAAUGCAAAAGUCGGCAGUUCGAACCUGUCAGUGGCUA
rnacentral:tRNA from 1 species